rfam:Myotis davidii contig32242, whole genome shotgun sequence.
AAAAAGGUUUCUUUCGAAACCAUAUUUUAUUAUUUAAGACAAGGUG